rnacentral:rRNA from 1 species
UUUAAAGAGAGUUUGAUCCUGGCUCAGGACGAACGCUGGCGGCGUGCCUAAUACAUGCAAGUCGAACGAACGGAGGAAGAGCUUGCUCUUCCAAAGUUAGUGGCGGACGGGUGAGUAACACGUGGGCAACCUGCCUGUAAGUUGGGGAUAACUCCGGGAAACCGGGGCUAAUACCGAAUGAUAAAGUGUGGCGCAUGCCACGCUUUUGAAAGAUGGUUUCGGCUAUCGCUUACAGAUGGGCCCGCGGUGCAUUAGCUAGUUGGUAGGGUAAUGGCCUACCAAGGCAACGAUGCAUAGCCGACCUGAGAGGGUGAUCGGCCACACUGGGACUGAGACACGGCCCAGACUCCUACGGGAGGCAGCAGUAGGGAAUCUUCCGCAAUGGACGAAAGUCUGACGGAGCAACGCCGCGUGUAUGAAGAAGGUUUUCGGAUCGUAAAGUACUGUUGUUAGAGAAGAACAAGGAUAAGAGUAACUGCUUGUCCCUUGACGGUAUCUAACCAGAAAGCCACGGCUAACUACGUGCCAGCAGCCGCGGUAAUACGUAGGUGGCAAGCGUUGUCCGGAUUUAUUGGGCGUAAAGCGCGCGCAGGCGGUCUUUUAAGUCUGAUGUGAAAGCCCCCGGCUUAACCGGGGAGGGUCAUUGGAAACUGGAAGACUGGAGUGCAGAAGAGGAGAGUGGAAUUCCACGUGUAGCGGUGAAAUGCGUAGAUAUGUGGAGGAACACCAGUGGCGAAGGCGACUCUCUGGUCUGUAACUG